AGCGAACGCUGGCGGCAGGCCUAACACAUGCAAGUCGAACGAAGUCUUCGGACUUAGUGGCGGACGGGUGAGUAACACGUGGGAACGUACCUUUUGGUUCGGAACAACUCAGGGAAACUUGAGCUAAUACCGGAUGAGCCCUUAGGGGGAAAGAUUUAUCGCCGAAAGAGCGGCCCGCGUUAGAUUAGCUAGUUGGUGAGGUAAAGGCUCACCAAGGCUACGAUCUAUAGCUGGUCUGAGAGGAUGAUCAGCCACACUGGGACUGAGACACGGCCAAGACUACUACGGGAGGCAGCAGUGGGGAAUCUUGCGCAAUGGGCGAAAGCCUGACGCAGCCAUGCCGCGUGAAUGAUGAAGGUCUUAGGAUUGUAAAAUUCUUUUACCAGGGACGAUAAUGCCGGUACCUGGAGAAAAAGCCCCGGCUAACUUCGUGCCAGCAGCCGCGGUAACAC
rnacentral:rRNA from 1 species